UGGUGCGCCUGCGCGGGAUGUGGUGCGCCUGCGCACGCACGCGGCCGACGACGGCAUCCAUUUUUCCGUGCCCGCAGUCUGAGCGCGGCAGUGACUGAGGGCACGUAGGGACCGAGGGAGUUUGGAAGGGCGAGCUGCCUGGCACAGAGGGGAAGAAAGAGAGCGGGAUGCUCCGGCCGUAGACCUGCUGCCCAGAAGCCCUUUCAAACUUCACCUUCACAGUCUGCACAGACUGGGAAUCUCCAAAACCUCAGGACCUGGGCCUUCCGAGCUGCCUCUCCCACGUUUUCCCACGAGCAGCGGCAGCCGCCCCCGCUGCCUGCCCUUCCCGCCCCGCUCACUCCCCGCUGCUCUCCUGGGGCUUCCUGGAGCCACUUCCCAGUGAGCUGCUUGUCCCCAAGUCUGCCUCGGGGCUGGCUCCCAGAGGAACCCAGACUCAGGCCGUCCCGAAGCAAGGCCGCCUCUGCUGAGUCUCCUGCCGUGGACAGAGGAGUGAGGGGGGCGAGGAAACGCGGUGAUUGUUCUGAGGAAGAAGAAAGAAAACAGCAAGGAAGCCUCACUUGGACCCCUAUGAUUCCAUCUCCAGCCUGCCCAGUCAGCACUCCCCAUGUCCCGAAGCCCCUACCCUCCAAAUUAUCUGUAAAAAACGUGAUCCCCAAAUGAGCA